rnacentral:lncRNA from 13 species
GUGGCUUUCAGUUCUUGCUGAACAAGGAAAUGAAUGUGCAUUUCUAUUUUUGCUGCUUAUCAAUGUUCAUGACACAGUAGAGUUGAGAACAAAGCUUACCAGUGCUCUUGCUCCUUUUGUGGGCAUACUGUAAACAAGAAGUGGAGAGAGAUCAGCUUCUUCACAUCCAGACUGUUCAUUUUAAAUUUUAACAAAUAUUAACAAUGUGUCCUGGAGACCAAGAAGAGCAACAUUCACAAAAUUAGAGUGGUUGCACAUAACAUCUUCGCUGACAAAUGAAAAGCAGUGGACAGCGUGGGGAGAGGUCCUCACAGCAUUGGGGGAAAUAUCUGAGGAUGCAGAACAUUGGAGUGGAAGUGAGGAACCAUGACAGAUGUAUUCAUGAACUAAGUCUAUUUCUUUGACUUCCAAGUACUAGAUUUUUAACCAGAUGAGCUAAUAAAACUAGGACAGAGUAUUUUCCUACA